GGAGGAAAAGAAACCAACAGGGAUUGCCUUAGUAGCGGCGAGUGAAGCGGCAAAAGCUCAAAUUUGAAAUCUGGCACCUUCGGUGUCCGAGUUGUAAUUUGAAGAUUGUAACCUUGGGGUUGGCUCUUGUCUAUGUUUCUUGGAACAGGACGUCACAGAGGGUGAGAAUCCCGUGCGAUGAGAUGCCCAAUCCUAUGUAAGGUGCUUUCGAAGAGUCGAGUUGUUUGGGAAUGCAGCUCUAAGUGGGUGGUAAAUUCCAUCUAAAGCUAAAUAUUGGCGAGAGACCGAUAGCGAACAAGUACAGUGAUGGAAAGAUGAAAAGAACUUUGAAAAGAGAGUGAAAAAGUACGUGAAAUUGUUGAAAGGGAAGGGUUUGAGAUCAGACUCGAUAUUUUGUGAGCCUUGCCUUCGUGGCGGGGUGACCCGCAGCUUAUCGGGCCAGCAUCGGUUUGGGCGGUAGGAUAAUGGCGUAGGAAUGUGACUUUGCUUCGGUGAAGUGUUAUAGCCUGCGUUGAUGCUGCCUGCCUAGACCGAGGACUGCGAUUUUAUCAAGGAUGCUGGCAUAAUGAUCCCAAACCGCCCU
rnacentral:rRNA from 1 species